GGGUUGUGAGGUUAAGCGACUAAGCGUACACGGUGGAUGCCCUGGCAGUCAGAGGCGAUGAAGGACGUGCUAAUCUGCGAUAAGCGUCGGUAAGGUGAUAUGAACCGUUAUAACCGGCGAUUUCCGAAUGGGGAAACCCAGUGUGAUUCGUCACACUAUCAUUAACUGAAUCCAUAGGUUAAUGAGGCGAACCGGGGGAACUGAAACAUCUAAGUACCCCGAGGAAAAGAAAUCAACCGAGAUUCCCCCAGUAGCGGCGAGCGAACGGGGAGGAGCCCAGAGCCUGAAUCAGUGUGUGUGUUAGUGGAAGCGUCUGGAAAGGCGUGCGAUACAGGGUGACAGCCCCGUACACAAAAAUGCACAUGCUGUGAGCUCGAUGAGUAGGGCGGGACACGUGGUAUCCUGUCUGAAUAUGGGGGGACCAUCCUCCAAGGCUAAAUACUCCUGACUGACCGAUAGUGAACCAGUACCGUGAGGGAAAGGCGAAAAGAACCCCGGCGAGGGGAGUGAAAAAGAACCUGAAACCGUGUACGUACAAGCAGUGGGAGCCUCUUUAUGGGGUGACUGCGUACCUUUUGUAUAAUGGGUCAGCGACUUAUAUUCUGUAGCAAGGUUAACCGAAUAGGGGAGCCGAAGGGAAACCGAGUCUUAACUGGGCGUUAAGUUGCAGGGUAUAGACCCGAAACCCGGUGAUCUAGCCAUGGGCAGGUUGAAGGUUGGGUAACACUAACUGGAGGACCGAACCGACUAAUGUUGAAAAAUUAGCGGAUGACUUGUGGCUGGGGGUGAAAGGCCAAUCAAACCGGGAGAUAGCUGGUUCUCCCCGAAAGCUAUUUAGGUAGCGCCUCGUGAAUUCAUCUCCGGGGGUAGAGCACUGUUUCGGCAAGGGGGUCAUCCCGACUUACCAACCCGAUGCAAACUGCGAAUACCGGAGAAUGUUAUCACGGGAGACACACGGCGGGUGCUAACGUCCGUCGUGAAGAGGGAAACAACCCAGACCGCCAGCUAAGGUCCCAAAGUCAUGGUUAAGUGGGAAACGAUGUGGGAAGGCCCAGACAGCCAGGAUGUUGGCUUAGAAGCAGCCAUCAUUUAAAGAAAGCGUAAUAGCUCACUGGUCGAGUCGGCCUGCGCGGAAGAUGUAACGGGGCUAAACCAUGCACCGAAGCUGCGGCAGCGACACUAUGUGUUGUUGGGUAGGGGAGCGUUCUGUAAGCCGUUGAAGGUGUGCUGUGAGGCAUGCUGGAGGUAUCAGAAGUGCGAAUGCUGACAUAAGUAACGAUAAAGCGGGUGAAAAGCCCGCUCGCCGGAAGACCAAGGGUUCCUGUCCAACGUUAAUCGGGGCAGGGUGAGUCGACCCCUAAGGCGAGGCCGAAAGGCGUAGUCGAUGGGAAACAGGUUAAUAUUCCUGUACUUGGUGUUACUGCGAAGGGGGGACGGAGAAGGCUAUGUUGGCCGGGCGACGGUUGUCCCGGUUUAAGCGUGUAGGCUGAUUUUCCAGGCAAAUCCGGAGAAUCAAGGCUGAGGCGUGAUGACGAGGCACUACGGUGCUGAAGCAACAAAUGCCCUGCUUCCAGGAAAAGCCUCUAAGCAUCAGGUAACAUCAAAUCGUACCCCAAACCGACACAGGUGGUCAGGUAGAGAAUACCAAGGCGCUUGAGAGAACUCGGGUGAAGGAACUAGGCAAAAUGGUGCCGUAACUUCGGGAGAAGGCACGCUGAUAUGUAGGUGAAGCGACUUGCUCGUGGAGCUGAAAUCAGUCGAAGAUACCAGCUGGCUGCAACUGUUUAUUAAAAACACAGCACUGUGCAAACACGAAAGUGGACGUAUACGGUGUGACGCCUGCCCGGUGCCGGAAGGUUAAUUGAUGGGGUCAGCCGCAAGGCGAAGCUCUUGAUCGAAGCCCCGGUAAACGGCGGCCGUAACUAUAACGGUCCUAAGGUAGCGAAAUUCCUUGUCGGGUAAGUUCCGACCUGCACGAAUGGCGUAAUGAUGGCCAGGCUGUCUCCACCCGAGACUCAGUGAAAUUGAACUCGCUGUGAAGAUGCAGUGUACCCGCGGCAAGACGGAAAGACCCCGUGAACCUUUACUAUAGCUUGACACUGAACAUUGAGCCUUGAUGUGUAGGAUAGGUGGGAGGCUUUGAAGUGUGGACGCCAGUCUGCAUGGAGCCGACCUUGAAAUACCACCCUUUAAUGUUUGAUGUUCUAACGUGGACCCGUGAUCCGGGUUGCGGACAGUGUCUGGUGGGUAGUUUGACUGGGGCGGUCUCCUCCUAAAGAGUAACGGAGGAGCACGAAGGUUGGCUAAUCCUGGUCGGACAUCAGGAGGUUAGUGCAAUGGCAUAAGCCAGCUUGACUGCGAGCGUGACGGCGCGAGCAGGUGCGAAAGCAGGUCAUAGUGAUCCGGUGGUUCUGAAUGGAAGGGCCAUCGCUCAACGGAUAAAAGGUACUCCGGGGAUAACAGGCUGAUACCGCCCAAGAGUUCAUAUCGACGGCGGUGUUUGGCACCUCGAUGUCGGCUCAUCACAUCCUGGGGCUGAAGUAGGUCCCAAGGGUAUGGCUGUUCGCCAUUUAAAGUGGUACGCGAGCUGGGUUUAGAACGUCGUGAGACAGUUCGGUCCCUAUCUGCCGUGGGCGCUGGAGAACUGAGGGGGGCUGCUCCUAGUACGAGAGGACCGGAGUGGACGCAUCACUGGUGUUCGGGUUGUCAUGCCAAUGGCACUGCCCGGUAGCUAAAUGCGGAAGAGAUAAGUGCUGAAAGCAUCUAAGCACGAAACUUGCCCCGAGAUGAGUUCUCCCUGAGACUUUAAGUCUCCUGAAGGAACGUUGAAGACGACGACGUUGAUAGGCCGGGUGUGUAAGCGCAGCGAUGCGUUGAGCUAACCGGUACUAAUGAACCGUGAGGCUUAACCUUACAACGCCGAAG
rnacentral:rRNA from 2 species